rnacentral:rRNA from 1 species
GAUGAACGCUGGCGGCGUGCCUAAUACAUGCAAGUCGAGCGAACAGACGAGGAGCUUGCUCCCCUGACGUUAGCGGCGGACGGGUGAGUAACACGUGGAUAACCUACCUAUAAGACUGGGAUAACUUCGGGAAACCGGAGCUAAUACCGGAUAAUAUAUUGAACCGCAUGGUUCAAUAGUGAAAGACGGUUUUGCUGUCACUUAUAGAUGGAUCCGCGCCGCAUUAGCUAGUUGGUAAGGUAACGGCUUACCAAGGCAACGAUGCGUAGCCGACCUGAGAGGGUGAUCGGCCACACUGGAACUGAGACACGGUCCAGACUCCUACGGGAGGCAGCAGUAGGGAAUCUUCCGCAAUGGGCGAAAGCCUGACGGAGCAACGCCGCGUGAGUGAUGAUGGUCUUCGGAUCGUAAAACUCUGUUAUUAGGGAAGAACAAAUGUGUAAGUAACUAUGCACGUCUUGACGGUACCUAAUCAGAAAGCCACGGCUAACUACGUG